CCUUAGUUAGCUUAUUAAAAGCCUUAAACUCUUAAUUUAAAAGAAAGUAGUUAAAACCUACUACCAAGGA
rnacentral:tRNA from 1 species